UAAGUGUAAAUAUUUAAAAGUUUCUUAUUAUUUUGAGAUAUUAAGUGUAAAUAUUUAAAAGUUUCUUAUUAUUUUGAGAUAUUAAGUGUAAAUAUUUGAAAGUUUCUUAUUAUUUUGAGAUAUUAAGUGUAAAUAUUUAAACGUUUCUUAUUAUUUUGAGAUAUUAAGUGUAAAUAUUUAAAAGUUUCUUAUUAUUUUGAGAUAUUAAGUGUAAAUAUUUGAACGUUUCUUAUUAUUUUGAGAUAUUAAGUGUAAAUAUUUAAACGUUUCUUAUUAUUUUGAGAUAUUAAGUGUAAAUAUUUAAACGUUUCUUAUUAUUUUUGAGAUAUUAGGUGAAAAUAUUGAUAAGUUGAAGUUUCUCAUUAUAAUGACUAACACAAUCUUUUUUUCCAUCACAUUGGCUGACUUGAUCUUCCAUACACAGUUUAGGUCCCCAGCAAUUAGAAACUGCCAGAUGCUAACUUGCAUAUAUUGGACAAUUAGCAUAAUUAGGAUCAAUAAAUCACCUAUAUGGACACUUGAGUAACUGCUGGCUGAUUGGGACGAUACAGGAGCAGUGUCCAUUUAUUGUUUAAUAUUUUGCACCUGCAUGUUCUGUUUGUAAGAACUCAAUGAUUAUAUUGAUUGAAAUACUCAAUGUAUGUAUUGUGUUUUUCUUCAUGUAUUUUUGUACACAUUGUUUUUAUUGCUAUUGACCUUGUUCCUUGUGUCAUUAAUAAAGCCAUUAUUAUUAUUAUUAUUAUUAUUAUUAUUAUUACACAGUGCCCCUGUGACUCAAACAUCCUCUGUAUCUGAAAAUUAUUUAUUUUCAUUGUUGAAACUCACUUUGUUUAAAACACU